UUUUUUGAGAGUUUGAUCCUGGCUCAGGAUGAACGCUGGCGGCGUGCCUUAGGCAUGCAAGUGGAACGGUUCGGUGAUCUCGCAAGAGGCUACCGGACAGUCGCAGACGGGUGAGUAAUGAUUAGGAAUCUACCCUAUGGUGGGGAAUAGCUGGCCGAAAGGCCAAUUAAUACCGCAUAAUCCUACUUUGCGUAAAGCUUUGUAGGAAAAGGCCGUAACUGGCCGCCGAUGGAGGAGCCUAAUUCCUAUCAGCUAGUUGGUGGGGUAAUAGCCUACCAAGGCGAUGACGGGUAGCUGGACUGAGAGGUCGGUCAGCCACAACUGCACUGAGAUACGGGCAGUACAUCUACGGAUGGCAGCAACUAGGAAUAUUGCGCAAUGGACGAAAGUCUGACGCAGCGACGCCGCGUGGAGGAUGAAGGCCUUCGGGUUGUAAACUCCUUUUGACAGGGAAGCCCCUCACCUUUUUGCCAAAUUUAGUAAACUAGAUUUGAUGUAUUGGGUGUAUAUGCUUUGGAGUAAGGAUUUUGACCAAUGGUAUGUUGGUUAUUCUGAUAAUUUAAAAAAAAGAUUAGAAGAACACAAUAAAGGUCAAAGUUUUGCUACCAAACCAUAUAUCCCAUGGGAAUUAGUUUACUGUGAGGGAUACAAAUCACACUUAGAUGCACUAGAUCGUGAAAGAAAAUUGAAAAAUCACGGCAAAGGAAUGCAAAUGUUAAAAAUUAGGUUAAAAAGAAGUGUCGGUUUGUUGGCAAAAAGGUGAGGGGGACGGUACCUGUAGAAUAAGCACCUGCUAACCACGUGCCAGCAGCCGCGGUAAUACGUGGGGUGCGAGCGUUAUCCGGAUUUACUGGGCGUAAAGAGUUCGUAGGCGUCACGUAAAGUUUCGUUUGAAAGCCCGAGGCCCAACCUCGGAUCCGGACGAAAAACUUACGUGAUUGAGUCGGUUAGGGGGUACUGGAACUGACAGUGUAGCAGUGAAAUGCGUUGAUAUUGUCAGGAACACCGAGGGCGAAGGCAGGUACCUGGGGCCGCACUGACGCUGAGGAACGAAAGCUAGGGGAGCGAAAGGGAUUAGAGACCCCUGUAGUCCUAGCUGUAAACCAUGCCCGCUUGAUCCUUCCUUUUUUGGAGGGGUCGGAGCUAACGCGUGAAGCGGGCCGCCUGGGGAGUACGGCCGCAAGGUUGAAACUUAAAGGAAUUGACGGGAAGGCGCACAACCAGGGGAGCAUGUGGUUCAAUUCGACACGAAGCGAUGGACCUUACCCAGAUUUGACAUCCAGUACCUAAUGUUCUGUAGGAAACUAUGGAAAAUCACGCGAAAGUGUGAAGUGCUGGACAGGUGUUGCAUGGCUGUCUUCAGCUCGUGCCGUGGGGUGUCGGCUUAAGUGCCGAAACGAGCGCAACCCCUAUCCCAUGUUGAUUACUCAUGGGAGACUGCCCCGAUAUUUAUCGGGGAGGAAGGAGGGGAUGACGUCAAGUCAGCAUGAUCCUUAUAUCUGGGGCCACACACAUCCUACAAUGGGGUGGAACAAUGGGUUGCCAAGCCGCAAGGCGGAGCUAAUCCCAGCAAAACACCCCUCAGUUCAGAUUGGGGGCUGAAACUCGCCCCCAUGAAGAUGGACUUGGUAGUAAUCGCGGAUCAGCAGACCGCGGUGAAUACGUUCUCGCCUUUUGUACACACCGCCCAUCAAGCCAGCAAAGUCGGGGGUGCCUGACGUCCCGAUUUAAUCGGGAAGAGGGUAAACUCGGCGAUGAGGGCUAAGUUGUAACAAGGUAUCCCUAGCCGAAGCUGGGGAUGGAUCACCUCCUUU
rfam:Candidatus Amesbacteria bacterium RIFCSPHIGHO2_01_FTLL_48_32b rifcsphigho2_01_scaffold_2833, whole genome shotgun sequence.